rnacentral:rRNA from 1 species
UCCAGACUCCUACGGGAGGCAGCAGUGAGGAAUAUUGGUCAAUGGCCGAGAGGCUGAACCAGCCAAGUCGCGUGAGGGAAGACGGCCCUACGGGUUGUAAACCUCUUUUGUCGGGGAGCAAAGCGAGUCACGUGUGACUCAUUGAGAGUACCCGGAGAAAAAGCAUCGGCUAACUCCGUGCCAGCAGCCGCGGUAAUACGGAGGAUGCGAGCGUUAUCCGGAUUUAUUGGGUUUAAAGGGUGCGCAGGCGGAGGUGCAAGUCAGCGGUCAAAUUGCGGGGCUCAACCCCGUACUGCCGUUGAAACUGGCUGUCUUGAGAUGUCGAGAGGUAUGCGGAAUGCGCAGUGUAGCGGUGAAAUGCUUAGAUAUCACGCAGAACUCCGAUUGCGAAGGCAGCAUACCGGCGCCCGACUGACGCUGAAGCACGAAAGCGUGGGUAUCGAACAGGAUUAGAUACCCUAGUA